GGGGUGGCGCGUGCUUACCAUGCAAGUCGAACGGUGAGCCAAGCUUGCUUGGUGGAUCAGUGGCGAACGGGUGAGUAACACGUGAGCAACCUGCCCUGGACUCUGGGAUAAGCGCUGGAAACGGCGUCUAAUACUGGAUAUGAGCUCUCAUCGCAUGGUGGGGGUUGGAAAGAUUUUUCGGUCUGGGAUGGGCUCGCGGCCUAUCAGCUUGUUGGUGAGGUAAUGGCUCACCAAGGCGUCGACGGGUAGCCGGCCUGAGAGGGUGACCGGCCACACUGGGACUGAGACACGGCCCAGACUCCUACGGGAGGCAGCAGUGGGGAAUAUUGCACAAUGGGCGGAAGCCUGAUGCAGCAACGCCGCGUGAGGGAUGACGGCCUUCGGGUUGUAAACCUCUUUUAGCAGGGAAGAAGCGAGAGUGACGGUACCUGCAGAAAAAGCGCCGGCUAACUACGUGCCAGCAGCCGCGGUAAUACGUAGGGCGCAAGCGUUAUCCGGAAUUAUUGGGCGUAAAGAGCUCGUAGGCGGUUUGUCGCGUCUGCUGUGAAAUCCCGAGGCUCAACCUCGGGCCUGCAGUGGGUACGGGCAGACUAGAGUGCGGUAGGGGAGAUUGGAAUUCCUGGUGUAGCGGUGGAAUGCGCAGAUAUCAGGAGGAACACCGAUGGCGAAGGCAGAUCUCUGGGCCGUAACUGACGCUGAGGAGCGAAAGGGUGGGGAGCAAACAGGCUUAGAUACCCUGGUAGUCCACCCCGUAAACGUUGGGAACUAGUUGUGGGGACCAUUCCACGGUUUCCGUGACGCAGCUAACGCAUUAAGUUCCCCGCCUGGGGAGUACGGCCGCAAGGCUAAAACUCAAAGGAAUUGACGGGGACCCGCACAAGCGGCGGAGCAUGCGGAUUAAUUCGAUGCAACGCGAAGAACCUUACCAAGGCUUGACAUACACCAGAACACCGUAGAAAUACGGGACUCUUUGGACACUGGUGAACAGGUGGUGCAUGGUUGUCGUCAGCUCGUGUCGUGAGAUGUUGGGUUAAGUCCCGCAACGAGCGCAACCCUCGUUCUAUGUUGCCAGCACGUAAUGGUGGGAACUCAUGGGAUACUGCCGGGGUCAACUCGGAGGAAGGUGGGGAUGACGUCAAAUCAUCAUGCCCCUUAUGUCUUGGGCUUCACGCAUGCUACAAUGGCCGGUACAAAGGGCUGCAAUACCGUGAGGUGGAGCGAAUCCCAAAAAGCCGGUCCCAGUUCGGAUUGAGGUCUGCAACUCGACCUCAUGAAGUCGGAGUCGCUAGUAAUCGCAGAUCAGCAACGCUGCGGUGAAUACGUUCCCGGGUCUUGUACACACCGCCCGUCAAGUCAUGAAAGUCGGUAACACCUGAAGCCGGUGGCCCAACCCUUGUGGAGGGAGCCGUCGAAGGUGGGAUCGGUAAUUAGGACUAAGUCGAACAAGAGCUCGC
rnacentral:rRNA from 1 species